rnacentral:rRNA from 1 species
GACGAACGCUGGCGGCGUGCUUAACACAUGCAAGUCGAACGGAAAGGCCUCUUUCGGGGGGUACUCGAGUGGCGAACGGGUGAGUAACACGUGAGUAACCUGCCCUUGACUUUGGGAUAACUUCAGGAAACUGGGACUAAUACCGGAUAGGAGCUCCUGCUGCAUGGUGGGGGUUGGAAAGUUUCGGCGGUUGGGGAUGGACUCGCGGCUUAUCAGCUUGUUGGUGGGGUAGUGGCUUACCAAGGCUUUGACGGGUAGCCGGCCUGAGAGGGUGACCGGCCACAUUGGGACUGAGAUACGGCCCAGACUCCUACGGGAGGCAGCAGUGGGGAAUAUUGCACAAUGGGUGGAAGCCUGAUGCAGCAACGCCGUGUGCGGGAUGACGGCCUUCGGGUUGUAAACCGCUUUCGCUCAUGACGAAGCUUUGUGUGACGGUAGUGGGUAAAGAAGCACCGGCUAACUACGUG